rnacentral:rRNA from 1 species
AGAGUUUGAUCCUGGCUCAGAUUGAACGCUGGCGGCAGGCCUAACACAUGCAAGUCGAACGGUAACAUUUCUAGCUUGCUAGAAGAUGACGAGUGGCGGACGGGUGAGUAAUGCUUGGGAACUUGCCUUUGCGAGGGGGAUAACAGUUGGAAACGACUGCUAAUACCGCAUAAUGUCUACGGACCAAACGGGGCUUAGGCUCCGGCGCAAAGAGAGGCCCAAGUGAGAUUAGCUAGUUGGUAAGGUAACGGCUUACCAAGGCGACGAUCUCUAGCUGUUCUGAGAGGAAGAUCAGCCACACUGGGACUGAGACACGGCCCAGACUCCUACGGGAGGCAGCAGUGGGGAAUAUUGCACAAUGGGGGAAACCCUGAUGCAGCCAUGCCGCGUGUGUGAAGAAGGCCUUCGGGUUGUAAAGCACUUUCAGUUGUGAGGAAAAGUUAGUAGUUAAUACCUGCUAGCCGUGACGUUAACAACAGAAGAAGCACCGGCUAACUCCGUGCCAGCAGCCGCGGUAAUACGGAGGGUGCGAGCGUUAAUCGGAAUUACUGGGCGUAAAGCGCACGCAGGCGGUUUGUUAAGCUAGAUGUGAAAGCCCCGGGCUCGACCUGGGAUGGUCAUUUAGAACUGGCAGACUAGAGUCUUGGAGAGGGGAGUGGAAUUCCAGGUGUAGCGGUGAAAUGCGUAGAUAUCUGGAGGAACAUCAGUGGCGAAGGCGACUCCCUGGCCAAAGACUGACGCUCAUGUGCGAAAGUGUGGGUAGCGAACAGGAUUAGAUACCCUGGUAGUCCACACCGUAAACGCUGUCUACUAGCUGUGUGUGUCUUUAAGACGUGCGUAGCGAAGCUAACGC